rnacentral:rRNA from 1 species
CCCCUAGUAACUGCGAGUGAAGCGGGAAAAGCUCAAAUUUAAAAUCUGGCGGUCUUUGGCUGUCCGAGUUGUAGUCUGGAGAAGUGCUUUCCGCGCUGGACCGUGUACAAGUCUCUUGGAACAGAGCGUCGUAGAGGGUGAGAAUCCCGUCUUUGACACGGACUACCAGUGCUUUGUGAUGCGCUCUCAAAGAGUCGAGUUGUUUGGGAAUGCAGCUCAAAAUGGGUGGUAAAUUCCAUCUAAAGCUAAAUAUUGGCGAGAGACCGAUAGCGAACAAGUACCGUGAGGGAAAGAUGAAAAGCACUUUGGAAAGAGAGUUAAACAGUACGUGAAAUUGCUGAAAGGGAAACACUUGAAGUCAGUCGCGUUGGCCAGGACUCAGCCUUGCUUUAGCUUGGUGCAUUUUCUGGUUGACGGGCCAGCAUCGAUUUUGGUUGUCGGAUAAAGGCAGGGGGAAUGUGGCAUCUUCGGAUGUGUUAUAGCCCUCAGUCACAUACGACGGCUGGGAUCGAGGACCGCAGCACGCCUUUAUGGCCGGGGUUCGCCCACGUUCGUGCUUAGGAUGCUGGCAUAAUGGCUUUAAAUGACCCGUCUUGAAACACGGACCAAGGAGUCUAACAUGCCUGCGAGUGUUUGGGUGGAAAACCCGAGCGCGUAAUGAAAGUGAAAGUUGAGAUCCCUGUCGUGGGGAGCAUCGACGCCCGGACCUGACCUUCUGUGAUGGAUCUGCGGUAGAGCAUGUAUGUUGGGACCCGAAAGAUGGUGAACUAUGCCUGAAUAGGGUGAAGCCAGAGGAAACUCUGGUGGAGGCUCGUAGCGAUUCUGACGUGCAAAUCGAUCGUCAAAUUUGGGUAUAGGGGCGAAAGACUAAUCGAACCAUC